rnacentral:rRNA from 1 species
GAUGAACGCUAGCGGCAGGCCUAAUACAUGCAAGCCGAACGGCAAGAUUUUCAGCAAUGGAAAUCCUAGAGUGGCGUAAGGGUGCGUAACACGUAUGCAAUCUGCCCUCAACAGGAGGAUAGCUCCCCGAAAGGGGAAUUAAGACUCCAUAAGAUCUUAGAGUGGCAUCACUUAGAGAUUAAACUACCAGGGGUUGAGGAUGAGCAUGCGCAUGAUUAGUUAGUUGGCGGGGUAACGGCCCACCAAGACGAUGAUCAUUAGGGGAACUGAGAGGUUGAUCCCCCACACUGGCACUGAGAUACGGGCCAGACUCCUACGGGAGGCAGCAGUAGGGAAUAUUGGACAAUGGGUGCAAGCCUGAUCCAGCCAUG